ACCUGGCUGGUUCAGUCGGUAGAGCACGAGACCCUUGAUCUCAGGUUUGUGAGUUCGAGCCCCAUGUUGGGUG
rnacentral:tRNA from 1 species